ACGCUCGACACCUACGGAGGCAGCAGUGGGGAAUAUUGCACAAUGGGGGAAACCCUGAUGCAGCGACGCCGCGUGAAGGAAGAAGUAUCUCGGUAUGUAAACUUCUAUCAGCAGGGAAGAAAGUGACGGUACCUGACUAAGAAGCCCCGGCUAACUACGUGCCAGCAGCCGCGGUAAUCUGAGCGGGCUGGCAAGGC
rnacentral:rRNA from 1 species